rnacentral:lncRNA from 1 species
ACAGGACAAGGCAUAAUGGUUUUAAAUUGAAAGAGCAGAGAUUUAGAUUAGUUAUUAAGAAGGAAUUCUUUCCUGUGAGAGUGGUGAGACAUCGCUCAGGUUGCCCAGAGAAGCUGUGGUUGCCCCAUCCCUGGAGGGGUUCAAGGCCAGGCUGGAUGAGGCUUUGAGCAACCUGGUCUGGUGGGAGGUGUCCCUGCCCAUGGCCAAGGGGUUGUAACUGUUUGAUCUUUAAGGUCCCUUUCAACUCUAACCGUUUUAUGAUUCUAUGACAAGCCUGGGGAAGUGAGCCCCCCAAUCAGUUUGGAAUCUCGCAUGCACUGCAAAGCUGGUAAUCCCCUGUACAGCUCUGGUGUGUCAGCCAAACUGUUCAAAUGCUGCCAAGAUGUUCUAUAAACCAUCUCCUAAUGUAUCUACUUUUUCCUUUGUGUCCCCAGAUGCCCAGGUCUUGGUUAAAUCUCUGUAAUUCUUCUUGUCCUGCUAUCUGAGGGCACCACGUACCCGUGGCUUGAUACAGCCCUGGGGGGAGAGCCCUGGCCCCGAGGCUGAAGGAUGCUCUGCCAAACAAAGCCACAGUGGACCUGCACAGAGGAGGUCUUCUGCAGCCUCGCUGCUCCUCAAGACUUACUCUUGGUUUUAAAGCAACAAAAGCUGAAUAUUUGAGCUGGGAAGAAACCUACUCAGCGGGUGUGCACCAUUCUCCCCUCGCCACUGCUUGGAACUACAGGGUUGGAGGUCUGGCUCAAGGACUCUCCCAUCCUCACCAGGCUCUGCAUGGAGACGGGACUGUCCCUUGGCAAGAAACAACGUGGAUGUGGUCCCCGAGAUGAGGUCGUCCAUCCCACAAGCACAUGAAGAUGCUGACUUCCAGGCCCAGUCUGAAGGCACGUGCCCCACUUUGGAUCCAGUUGCCUUCCCCCUUCUUUUCUCAGUGGGUCCUACCGAACUCCCUCCCCAGUCCUGGAUCCAAAAGAAUAAUGGCUUUAUGUAGCUUGUAAAAUUCUAUUAUCUCUGUAUUCAAAACUCAACAACUGGGAAAUGGC